rnacentral:tRNA from 1 species
UCAAAUUAGAGCUUGUAUAAGUAUUUCAUUUACAUUGAAAAGAAAUUAAAACAUUAAUUAAUUUGAG